GGCCGCCUAUGGCGGGCGGCGGGUGGGACCGCGAGUUACAGCCGGCCAACUGGGGCCAGCCAGGAGCCUGAGGGUCGGAAGCCCCCAACACAAGAUGCUGAGCUCCUUCCUGAGCCCCCAGAAUGGCACCUGGGCAGACACCUUCUCUCUGCUCUUGGCUCUUGCCGUUGCCCUCUACUUGGGCUACUACUGGGCACGUGUGCUUCAGGUGGGUGCGGGUCCACCGCUCUGGCCAGCGGGUUUGGGUGUAGCGGGCAGCUUCCAGACACGGGCUUGAGUCCUUGGUGGGAACUGGGAUGGUUGGGCUUCCCCACAGGUGAAAUUUGCUACCACCGAAUGGGGAGUCGGCUCUGCCUCCCUAGUGCCUCUGCAUCCCAUGUGAUCCCCACGCCAGCUGGGCCUUUUGGGUACCGGAGGGUGCUGCUCCCUAUAAUGUGGACAAGCAUUUGGGGAAAGGUGGGGUGGAAGGCAUCCUGAGGUAUCAGAGAUGUGCACACUUUGCGUUCCUUUUUAGGUGGUUUAGCUGAGUCAGCUGCACUGAAGGAAGGAACCAGAGGUCUGUGGGUCACGGCUAACUCCCAAUACCACCCACCCCCCAAAUAGCUUAGUAGGACCUCCCUUCCCUUAAGGGCUGGCUGAGGUCAGAACUGGCCUAGCUCAGAACUGAUGGAUGACCCUAACUGUCCUUGCUCAUUCAGCCGUUUUAUGUUCCAGGCUCUCCAUACAGUGUGAUGAGAAAGUUUGAAGAGGUUGAUUUUGAUGAAUUUGGAGAUUUUUCUCACUGAAAUUUAGAUAUAUACAUAAUUUACAUAUCCAGGAAAAGCCAAAUCUCUUCAUCUUCAUUAAACUCUGUUCUAGGUAGCUGAGUCUAACAAGACACCUACUGGUUCGAGUCCUUUAAAAAGGUCUAUAGGAGACUUUAGUGUUACCUAGACUUUUCCAUAUUUUCAGAGCUUUCUACAUUAGCAUAUAUUGUUUACUAAAUGUCUUCCUUAGGGCCGGGUGUGGUGGCUCACGCCUGUAAUCCCAACACUUUGGGAGGCAGAGGCGGGAGGAUCGCCUGAGAUCGGGAGUUCGAGAGCAGCCUGACCAACAUGAAGAAACCCCGUCUCUACUAAAAAUACAAAAAUUAGCCAGGCAUGGUGGCACAUGCCUAUAAUCCCAGCUACUCGGGAGCCCGAGGCAGGAGAAUCACUUGAACCUGGGAGGCGGAGGUUGCAAUGAGCCUCGUGCCAUUGCACUCCAGCCUGGGCAACAAGAGUGAAACUCCGUCUCAAAAAAAAAAAAAAAAGUCUUCCUUAAUAAAACAGUUAAAAACUCCAAGCCUCACAAUACUCUGUAGGCCUCACUUUAUACAUCAGAUUUGGAAGGUCACUUCAGAACAAAACUGCCCCUAAGGAAACACUUUCCUUUACUUGCAACUAGCUGCACAGAAAUCUGGGCCCCUGCUGCUUUAUAGACUAAACCCUUUAUAAGCUAACGAAUACUGGUUAAAAUGCAGGAAAAGUGCCAUUCUGGAGGCCCUCUAGAUAUGGUGUUUGGAUUGGCCAGCACUGUAAUGGAUCUAUACUGAUUUAAGCAUAGCAACCAGUGCCAUAUUGUAAUACUAAUUCAUUCUCAGGAGGGAGUCAAGAAACAUUUUCUUGAGUUAAAAUCAAAUUAACCCACAUAAAUCAAACCUGUGAACAAAUUUAUAAGACUUGUUCCACAUUACUGGGCCGUUUGACCAAGGAAUUAAUAAACUGAUAGUAACUCAGCCGAGCACAGUGGCUCAUGCCUGUAAUCCCAGCAUUUUGGAGGCUGAGGCGGGCGGAUCACUUGAUGUCAGGAGUUCGAGACCCGCCUGGCCAACAUGGUGAAACCCCUAUCUCUACUAAAAAUACAAAAAUUAGUUGGGUGUGGUGACGCAAGCCUGUCAUCCCAGCUACUCAGGAGGCUGAGGCAGGAGAAUCGCUUGAACCCAGGAGGCGGAGGUUGCGGUGAGCUGAGAUGGCACCACUGCACUCCAGCCUGGGUGUCAGAGCAAAACUCCGUCUCAAAAAAAAAAAAAAAAAAAAGGAUAGCAACUCAAAAUCUUGGCAAUUAGGAGGCAAUACCCGACAGUGACUAGACAGCGCAGGCUCUAGAGUCAGACAGACCUGGGUUUGAAUCUCCUGCUCUGCCACUAACUAGCUCUGGCAAGCUUCUGGCCCUUGACAAGUUAUUCAGCAUUCAAAUCCGUUCACAUAGGGGGAUCACAGAACCUAUUUCAUGGAACUGUUAUGAAAAUCACAAGACAAAAUUUGUGUGAAGUGCUUAGCAGAAUGCCUGGAGCUUAAUGAGAACUCAACAAAUCUUACCUACAAGUACUGGUGGUAAUGUCAUAGUUAAUAAUUUUGUUUUGCCUCUUGCUUGCUGUGUAACUGGACAAACCACUUAAUCUCUGUCAGUCAUAACUUCUUCACUUAUAAAAUAUCUCAUAAGUUUGGGCUUAGCCCAGUGCCUGCACACGACUGACAGCUGUCAUAAUUCCAGGGCUUAAGGACUAGGGUCCAAAGUCACAUCUCCCAACAGUUGCACUAUCAACUUGGCCUCUCUACCAUUUGCCCCUGUAGACCAUAGGAACUGUACUGGAGAUAGAAAUCUGGUCCUCAUGUUCCUUAGGGCCCACUGCGGAUAUGCAGUUUCUAUUCUUGAACCUAUGGCAUACUCCUCCUUCACAUGCCUUCCACGUGGCUAGGCUCUCUCAUUCACUUGAUGUCUGUCCAGAACACAGCAGAGAAGCUGAAAGUCAGGGCUCAGUGCCCACUGACCUCAUCUGUCCCUGUUAUUUCAUCCUUGUCACCUUCCCCCUAGCUGGCAUGAAGGAAGAAAAAAAUCGAUUCACAUUAGGGCUGUUCUUCCUUUAGAGCACAAUCUAACAGCAGGGGCCCCACAAGUAAGAGAAGAUAAGGUCCCCGGUAGAAAGAAGCCCCUUAGGCCAGACGCAGUGGCUUACACUUGUAAUCCCAGCACUUUGGGAGGCCGAGGCGGGCGGAUCACGAGGUCAGGAGAUCGAGACCAUCCUGGCUAACACGGUGAAACCCCAUCUUUACUAAAAAUACAAAAAAAAAAAAAAAAAAA
rnacentral:sRNA from 1 species